AUAUUGAAUAUAUGAAAUUAUUUUUGACUUUUUGUGUAGAUUGCUAGGAUAAAGCGGUAUGGGGACAGGUUUUUUGUAGACGAGAAAAACAUGAGUCCAAGCCAAAGUUGGUGGUGAACCUGUAGAUGAGACUGUAUUGUCCGAGUGUAUUGUCCAGUGUCAUGCUUGUAUUUGUGGAAUGUUCCAGAGUACUAUGAUAUUAUCUGGAAUAAGAUAUUGGUUAUGCUGCAAGUUACGAGAAGCAGCAACAAAACCAGCAUCCUGCCAACAACAAUUCAAUCCCAGAUGUUGCGAGUCCUAAUCAAAGCACAGAUCCAAGUCUUGUAGGGGUCACACAUACUGUUUUUAUUUCGACGAUCAGACUGUAUUUGUGAUG